rnacentral:lncRNA from 1 species
AUUGAUCAAUCUACCAUGUCUAGUUAAAUCUCCUUCGCUGGAGUGAUUGACGUAGUAUGAAUAAAAAGUAUGCUUGAAGUUUAAUUUUAGCUUCCUUUUAGUUGCAAUUUAACAAUAUUAAAAUUAAUUUUGUUGUGAGACUUGGUCAACUCACGGCUUAAUGAAAUGUAUGAAUUGUUACUAAAAAAUCUAAAUCCUAAAUUUC